rnacentral:misc_RNA from 1 species
GAUGAAGAACGCAGCGAAAUGCGAUAAGUAAUGUGAAUUCCAGAAUUCAGUGAAUCAUCGAAUCUUUGAACGCACAUUGCGCCCGCCAGUAUUCUGGCGGGCAUGCCUGUCUGAGCGUCAUUUCAACCCUCAUGCCCCUAGGGCGUGGUGUUGGGGAUCGGCCAAAGCCCGCGAGGGACGGCCGGCCCCUAAAUCUAGUGGCGGACCCGUCGUGGCCUCCUCUGCGAAGUAGUGAUAUUCCGCAUCGGAGAGCGACGAGCCCCUGCCGUUAAACCCCCAACUUUCCAAGGUUGACCUCAGAUCAGGUAGGAAUACCCGCUGAACUUAAGCAUAUCAAUAAGCGGAGGA